ACAGAGUAUUCUAAAAGGAAUAACUAGAGAAUGAGAAAGAAUUUAUGGGAGUAAACAUUCUUUUAUUUAUUUUUGAGACAGGGUGUCACUAUGUCCUGCAGGCUGGCAUUGGGCUCACUGUUUAGCCCAGAGUGGCUUGAAACUCUCAGUGAUCCUCCUGCCUCAGCCUCCUGAGUUCUGGGACUAUAGGCGUGCACUGCUGCGCACGGCCAGGAAGCAGCCAUUCUGAUAGCAAAAAAGUUUAAAAACUAUUGCGGCUUGAAAGAUGAAGUUGAGGAGCUUUCUCUGGAAAUACAACAGGAAGAGACAGUGACAUGGAUUAGAGGAGAAAUGAGAGAGCAGGUGUGUGAAAAUCAGGGCAUCAAUCCGAGAAGCUCUGCAUUCAGCUAAUAGGAGUUCCAGAAAUAGAGGAGGGAGAACCAAACUGUCAAAGGAAUAAUACAAGAGAAUUUCCCAGAAUUAAGGAUGCCACUUCCCAGAUAGUAAGUUCCCUUGAGUGUCCAGUAUCAAAAAUAUCCAGAUUCAAGGUCAUUGUUGUGACAUUUCAGAUUCAGGGGUCGAGAGCUCUGUGGUUUCUGGAAAGGGUGGGCCAGGACUCAGUCAGACAAGUGAGGCGUUUGCCUUUCGUGUAGCAUUUGAGGGGGCAACAAAAUCAGUAAGAUAAAAUAUUUACCACUAUCAAAAAAUAAAAUAAGAAUAAAGUAAAAUAGCUUCUGAUGAACCAAAUGGGAAAAUGUUUUAACAUUAGAUGGGAUCUAGUGAGGCUGGGGUUAAAAAAGUGAGGUGGAGUUUUGAAAGUGUAGGUCUGGAGCCGGUCUUCAUUUAGGGUUGCUAUUUUGGUUAUUGUACUUUUAUUUUGUUUUGUUUUGUUUUUGAGGGUUUUGUGAUAUAGUUCAGGCUGGCCUUGAAUUCAUAGCAAUCCUGUCUCAGCCUCCGGAGUGUUGCGAUUGCAGCGUGCGUCCCCAUUCACUGUGGUUUCUGUGCAUUUUGACAAGCCCUGACUUUGGAGCUCAGGAAAAAGCUCCUCUUGCAUACAAAAGACUGAGAGUAACAAUAUCCCUGUGCUAGCCAGCGAGCUUUCAUCAUGGUGACAGAUACCUGAGACAGUCAGUGUAACAGAGGAAAGUUUUGAUUCAUAGUUUCAGAGGGUUCAGUUUAUGGAUAGCUGCCUCCAUGCUUUGGGCCAGUGAAAAGGUAGAAACAUUUUGGUGGAAGGGCACAGCAGGAGGGACCCACGGUCCUCCUGGCUGCCAGAAAGCAGAGAGAGGAUGGUGGAGGGGAAGGAAUGCCCUUCCAGGGUGCUCUGAGUUUGUCCAUCUGCCAUAGUCUAUGUAGUAAUGCACCCAUCAGUGGAUGGAUCCAUUCCUCACUUCAGGGAUCAAGCCCUCCGCACUCUUGGUGCAGACCGUGGCACUGGGAACUAGCAGCACAUUCCAGGAGGUUGAUACAAGGGGACAUUUUUAAAUGGCGAAUGAGGAAAAUGACAUCAGGUCUUUUGAAACAAUUGUCUUUGACUACAAGGAUUAAUAAUACCAAGGCACCAGUCCGAGUGUGAACAGGUAGUUGCUGGGCAGAUGUCCUUGUAGACUUUCGUGUAAAGUUUCAGUGGCUUUUGUGUAAAGUUGUGCUUCUGGUAGAGGUUUCUGUGACUAGUUAUUUUUUGAGGGGAUCCAUUCCUGAGAGUCCUCCUUGAAAACCUUUUUUUUUGGUAAUGGGAAUUGAGCUCAGGACCUUACACUUGUCAGGCAGGCCCUGUGCCACUGAGUUGUGUCCCUGGCCCCUGACUUUGUUUUCAGGUUGACAAAACAAGGGGAAAAUUUUAAAGGCAAACAAAGAGAUUGCCUCAAGUGUCGACAAAAGUGACUCCAUCUUGAUUCUGACAACUUUCAUAGUGUCGGUCUUGUACCAGUCACUUUGGAAGUGUAUGCGCAAUGAAACAGUGCUUCCAAACUUCUGACUCAAGAUGUUUUCCGACUUAGCAUCCCACACCCACCAAGACUCUCAAUGAACUAUGAGGGAGAAACAAAGACCUUUCUCAGAGAAAGAUCUAGGCAUGCAGAGCCUUCAGAUAGCUUGCUCCCAUGUCCUUUUCUGCAGGAAACUACUAAAAGAUGUGCUCCAUUAACACCAAGGAGCCAGGAACGAAGUUGGUUGCAGAACCAGGGACCCCAACACAGGAGAAGGAUUCAGGGGACACUUUGCGUAACAGCCUAAGGGAUGCCAAAGAUAGAUUUCCUUGUUGUAGCUCAGAGAACUACGCUAGAAAGCGGGAAGUCAGAAGGCUCUGGGGGUGAUGACAUUUGUCCUUAGCAAAAUAAAUGAGCCUGGCAAAGCACCUGACAAAUCUGGUCAGGUGGAAAAUUAUACUGAGGACAGGGAAAGAUUUUGUCAAUUAUCAAACAAACCAAUCGACCUAAAUUGAUGAAAAAAUGAAGUAACAAUUAACAGGAAAGAAGAUCAAGGUCUACUUAUUGGGCCAGCAACAACAUGUAUUUACCUUAUCUGAGAAGGUAGAAUGUGGAUUUUUAAAAAUUGAGAUGAAAUUGAGGCCAAGAGGGAAGAGAAGAAAACCUUCUCUGAGCCACCGAGAAGCCGAUCUCAAGGUUAAGCUGAUGACUCAGGAGACGCAAGAGUACAAGUAUUUGGGGACAGGGUGAUAAACAACAGAAGACCCAGCUGCAGGGUAACAGGGUGAGGGGAGAUGAAGCAGGUGCAGGGGUGUAGGCCACUGAUUUUCAUGGUAAGUCCUUGGCAUCACUGGGGACUCCUGGACCCUUCUUGGGCUCUGCAUCUAUGGAUUCAAUGUUAAAUUAACACAGGCGGAAUGUUAAAAAAAAAAAAAAAACACGCAUCUAUACUGAAACGUGGACACUUUUAAAUCUUGUCAUUAUUCUCCAGAUAAUACAGUAUAAGAAGUAUUUGCAUUGCAUUAUAUAUUAUAAGUAAUUUAAGAUGCUUUAAAGUCUGCAAGAGGAUGUAGGUUAUAUGCAAAUAAUAUGCAGUUUUAUUUAAGGAAUGUGAGCAUUCUCGGAUUUUGGUAUUUACGUGGGAUCCUGGAAUUAAUUCCCUAUGGAUACUAGGGAUGACUACACUUGGCUUUUCAAAAGAUUUACAGGUAAUACUUUGAUUAAAAUAAAACACUGUUCUGAAAAAUUUGACGAGGCUCUUGCUCUCUCUUGUACUAAGGAAGGUUUCCCUGACUCCCCUGGUGCCUCGAUUCCUUCCCUCUGUGAGUGACCACAGCUCUGGAACUCAUGUCCCCAACAAUGCUCUUCAACUGAGCGACAAGUGAAAAAUGAAGUUGGUUAAGGUGAGAAGAGCUCAACAAAAACCACUUGUGUGGAUGCUGAGCUGUGAAGGCCAUGUUGCCAUUACAGGAUAUUUGUCUUGAGUGGGGUGUCCCAAUGUUCAUGGCACUUUAUUUCCACUGUGGAGUCGGGUGGGCUGGGCUGAGGUUGUGGGCAGUCGGGUUGGGUAUUUAGAGUCACAUGCCUGGGCUCCCCACCUCCUUUCAAUGACCUGGGGGCCAGUUACUCAUCCCAAAACUCAUUUCCUUUUCUGAAUAGUGAGGCUAAGACAAAAGUACUACUUGGUAGCUGUACUGGUCAGCUUUCCCCUUGCUGGUACGCUCUGCCUGGACACGUACAACUUAAAGGAAGAGAAGUCUAUUUUGACUUUUGGUUUCCAAGGGUUCAGUUCAUGGUUAGUUGGCUUCAAGGCACAAAUGUCAUGGGGCAAGUGGGUGGGGCAAAGCUGUUCCCUUCACGAUGGCUGGGAAUAGUACCUGAGGUCACACCUCUGAGACCUGCCCAGACACACCCAGCAAUGCGAGGCUCCCAACUGAUAGUACAGCUUAACAUUGCAUAGUGCUGCCCACCCUCAGAAAAAGGUAGGUGAGGUGCCCAGCACAUGGUGGGUGGUUCUUAAACGGAUCUUUCUCAGUUGCAGAACGUUCAGGGAUGGCAGCUCUUCCUUGGUCCUGUAUUUCCUGAAUUCUUGUUGACUUCCAGGUCCUGGCCUCAGCUUCCAAGGCCACAGGACACUCGGCGCUCAGCACAGGCACGUGCUAUGUUGGCUUAGUGGUUUGUAACACCUAAACAUUUUCGGGGACAACCGAGUGACUCCACUUCAAGGUCUGUGCUGAGUCAGUUUCAAGUAGCUUUGCUUGGUUUUUGAACAAAAGUUAUUUAGCUGGGAAUAGGCUCAACUUGAGGUUUCCAUGAUUUUCACAUGACCUUUAAAUACCCCAGAUUUGCAGUUUCCUUCUUUUGCUAAUGAAAGACUAGAUGUCUCAGAAAACAGCACUUUAAUUUGAUGCCGUCACCCUGUACCUCUCCUGGCUUUCCUCCGUGUUUUCCUGGGCUCCAGGCUGCCCUGCCUCCCCACCACGCUGCAGCCCUCCCUGGCCCCGGGCCACCGCUCCUCCUCCGUGGGAACUGCUUGGGAUUCUCUAGGCCCUCCGGAGGCCACGCUUCCUGCAGUCCCCGUUUCAGGCUGUGCUGCAGCCCCUUCCAGCGAUGCCCUCCUCCUACCUUGGCUUCAGGUCACUGAAGAGGUCUACUUAAUUGGUUGUUAGUAUGUUUAAAAACUCUUUAGUGUUUACUGUUGAUGCUAUGAUCAUUCCCUAAGGCUCAGGCCUUUCUUUUCCCUAAAUUUACUGCUCUUGCUCUUUCUUUACUGAUCUUGAAUGGCUGAGUGGCCUUCAGUGAGCGCCUCUGCCUGGGCCUCUGUCUUAGCUCUGUCCCAUCCCAUUCCCUGGACUGUCGGGGGCUUCCUGGGUGGCCUCCUCAAGCCGGCCUGACUUUUGCUCACAUCUGAGGCAGACUCACACACCUGUCCCAACCCGUCCCCAAUCUUCGACUUGGUCAGUGGCAGCGCAAACUCUGCAGGUUUUCUUUGCUGUUCUCUCUUCCUUCAGCUUUAUCUCUUGAACCAGCCCACCCCUCUGACCUCCUCAGGGUGGUCCUCACUGUCCCCAAAUAUGUGGUCACUCCUCUGUUUUGCUUGGAGCAUCAGGGAGGGCACUUUGUCACUGUUGUACUUUUCAAAAAAUAAGAUUUUCCUUUACCAGUUACGGCCAAGGAAUCCAAGGAUGAUAGGCACUGUCUGCGUCCCGAUGAUGAGAGGCCUCUCAUCUCCCAGAGUCUGUCCACAGAUGGUGCGCAUGACCUCAUUGCUCAAUGUCAUGCUGAGGACCUGUGCCUCUUCUUGGGCUCAGCUUCACUGGUGGUGUGUGCAGGGGAGUUGUUUCUAGAAGAUCCACGGGUCAGCCCCUCUCAAGGUCAGGAAGCUUGAGAGUGCUUGAACCUGGACAACUUGGAGCUCGGGGUGGCCUAGGGGUAGAGCGCUAGGUGUGUGCCAUGCACAAGGCGCUGGAUUACAUUUUAGCGCGGCCAGCGCUAGGGAGACGGACAGAGACUAAAUUCUCCAGAUUCUUAACAGUAUGUCUAAGACAAAUCAGCUAUCCUCUUGCUUCACUAAUGCCUUGUUAUGCUAAUGAAAAGCCUCUGUCUUCUUCCUGCAUCUCACCAAGGAGACUCUCCUCAAGGAGGGGGAGGGAGGAGCAUGCCAGCCUGCUGGGGGCCGCUCAAGCUGGAAAUUGACCACAGGUGCAAGUUUGGAAUUUGACCUCCCCAAGAACAAAGAGCGCCUGGGCAAGCCAUGUGAAGAAGCUGCUUCAGCCGGAACCCCUGGCCCCAAAAGCAAUCUGAACAAUGGGUUGCUAGGACAACGGGGUGUCAUGUGAUAUUGAAUUGCUAAAAGGUGUAAAUAAAUGCUUCUGCAGUGAGGGGCCAGGACCUUUCCUCCCAUCAGGAGAGUAAGGACUGCACCUGUCCCCAGCUUUGUCUCUUCUUUAUUUUUCUCAUCUUCUCGUGGUCCUUCACCCCAAGAACCUCAGGAGCUGCUUGGGUCACGGCACCAGCCUGCCAGGGUCUGGUCACCCUACCCAUGCGUGCGCCUUUAUGCUGAUCCCCAACUUAAGAUUGCUGCUUCUCUAAGGGUCCUGCUAUGUAGCCCAGGCUGGCCUUGGACUCACAGCAAUCCUCCUGCCUCAGCCUCCUGAGUGCUGGAAUUACAGGCAUGCAAUACCCAUCCGCCUUCUUCAUCUUGUAAAUGUUUUGACUUUGCCUUGGGAUGCCGCCUAGUGAUCCCCUGCAGACCUAAUGGCCUCCCAUCCCUUCACCUCCCACCGGAUCACAGCAGUAUUUGUGGCAGUUGAGUGCCCUCCUCAAUGAAAUUCCCUUUGGAGACUGACAGAAGACGAUCAUCACCAAUUCACCUGGGAUGUGAUCCUGAUUGCAGAGUGGGGAAAGGAGGGGGUGAUGACAUUCCUGGCCAGCUGGCAAGCUGUCCAGGGUCAGCUCCCAGCUCCCAGCCCACUGCACAGCAGGGGAGAAUGCACACCAGGACCUGAGACAGAGGGACAAGUGACGCCUGUCUGUCUGGAGGGGGGGAGCUAAGUGUCCACAUCCAAAGGGACACGCGGCACCCAACACGGUUGGUAGGACCUGGUGUUUCAGAACCAGCGAAGGGGAUUAGACGCCAAAAAUUCCAAGAAAAAAAAUAGGUCCACCGUGAGAGGUGUCCUGGGCUGCUCCCUGCCACUCUGGGUGUGAGCAGGAGCUGGAGGGCUGCCUGCUCCCCUCACCAGACUGGGCGGCAAGAGGAAGGAGAAUUAAACAAAAAAAGAUGAAUUAUCUUUUUGCUAUGGAACAUGCAGGGUUGAGGCAGAGUCUUGCAAAACUGCCUUGGCUGACCUGGGUUCUUCUAAUCCUAAGAAUUUAGACCAGCCCAUCCUUGGCCAGUAAAUUUUUCUGUGUGAAA